UUUGAAGAGAGAGUUCAAGAGUACGUGAAACCGCUCAGGGGUAAACGGAAAAGACCUGAAUAUCCGAAAGGGGAGAUUCACGUCUUACCAGUUGCUCAACUUUUAAAUGAUUUGAGAUGGCCUCUCGCCCUAUUCAGUGUAACAGCUGUGGUAGUGGGUUUGGUCGCUCGCAUUUAAAUUGGAAGGGUAAUGGUGGACCGCACUUCUCCCUUAGUAGGACGUUGCGACCUGUCAAAUAAUAUCCUAAGUAUUUGGCUAAUUUGUCUGUUUUUAGGCAGUACUGAAAGGUAUUUCCUUUAACAGUUUUAGCCGUUUACAUACUGGAUAUAAUUGACAGUAACAAAUCAUGGUGUUGAGCCACUUACUUUGUAAGUGUCCUUUAUGGCUGUUUGCAAGUGGGUUGGUUAAUUAGUUUUAGUCGGAUUUUGGUCCGUCUAACUAUUCCGCCUACUGUUGGUAAACUGUUCCUUGGACAGUGCUUAUAACACCGGUCGGCAGCGAUUCAGGUUCAGGCUCUUAUCCGACCCGUCUUGAAACACGGACCAAGGAGUUUAGCGUGUACG
rnacentral:rRNA from 1 species